UGACAUCCACUCUCCACAUGUUACCAUCUAUGAAUCCUUACUCUACUCAGCUUGGCUUCGUCUACCCCUGAAGUCGAUUCUGGAACCAGAAAGGCAAGGAUCUAUAUCAGAAGGCAGCUUAAAGUUCAAUGGAAGUUUGUGUACUUUGAAUAUCAUUACUCUUGUCCUUGGUUUCUAUGGGGUUUCCUACCACCUUAGGUUAGAUCAUUCAAAUUAAUUUGCGUUGCAUUCAAAAGCAUUUUUAUCCUACGGCUAAUCAUUUUGUCAAGUUCAAGCAACCUGUUCUGUCUUGCUGAGAAUGCUAGUGAAGAUGAUUUCAAUAUCUUGAAAGAGUCCUAUGUUUGUUGAUGAAGUCAUGGAGCUUGUGGAACUG
rnacentral:misc_RNA from 1 species